rnacentral:rRNA from 1 species
ACGGAAGGCAGCAGUGGGGAAUCUUCCGCAAUGGGCGCAGGCCUGACGGAGCAACGCCGCGUGAGUGAAGAAGGUCUUCGGAUCGUAAAGCUCUGUUGAGAGGGACGAGAGAUAAUGUCAGGAAAUGGGCAUUAGAGGACGGUACCUUUCGAGGAAGCCACGGCUAACUACGUGCCAGCAGCCGCGGUAAUACGUAGGAGGCGAGCGUUGUCCGGAAUUAUUGGGCGUAAAGGGAGCGCAGGUGGGAUUGUAAGUCAGUCUUAAAAGUGCGGGGCUCACCCCCGUGCUGGGAUUUAAACUGCAGUUCUUGAGUGCAGGAGAGGAAAGCGGAAUUCCUAGUGUAGCGGUGAAAUGCGUAGAUAUUAGGAGGAACUCCAGUGGCGAAGGCGGCUUUCUGGACUGUAACUGACUCUGAGGCUCGAAAGCGUGGGGAGC